rnacentral:rRNA from 1 species
CCUACGGGAGGCAGCAGUGAGGAAUAUUGGUCAAUGGGCGCGAGCCUGAACCAGCCAAGCAGCGUGCAGGAUGACGGCCCUACGGGUUGUAAACUUCUUUUAUAAAGGAAUAAAGUGAGGCACGUGUGCCUUUUUGUAUGUACUUUAUGAAUAAGGAUCGGCUAACUCCGUGCCAGCAGCCGCGGUAAUACGGAGGAUCCGAGCGUUAUCCGGAUUUAUUGGGUUUAAAGGGAGCGUAGAUGGGUGGUUAAGUCAGUUGUGAAAGUUCGCGGCUCAACCUUAAAAUUGCAAUUGAUACUGGCCGGCUUGAGAACAGUUGCGGUAGGCGGAAUUCGUGGUGUAGCGGUGAAAUGCUUAGAUAUCACGCAGAACACCGAUUGCGAAGGCAGCUUACCAAGCUGCCACUGACAUUGAUGCUCGAAAGUGUGGGUAUCAAACAGGAUUAGAUACCCUAGUAGUC